GAAUAUUGGACAAUGGGCGAAAGCCUGAUCCAGCCAUGCCGCGUGUGUGAAGACGGCCUUUUGGUUGUAAAGCACUUUAAGCGAGGAGGAGGCUACUUAGAUUAAUACUCUAGGCUAGUGGACGGAACUCGCAGAAUAAGCCCCGGCUAACUCUGUGCCAGCAGCCGCGGUAAUACAGAGGGUGCGAGCGUUAAUCGGAUUUACGGGGCGGAAAGCGUGCGUAGGCGGCUGCGUAAGUCGGAUGUGAAAUCCCUGAGCUUAACUUAGGAAUUGCAUUCGAUACUGGGAAGCUAGAGUAUGGGAGAGGAUGGUAGAAUUCCAGGUGUAGCGGUGAAAUGCGUAGAGAUCUGGAGGAAGACCGAUGGCGAAGGCAGCCAUCUGGCCUAAUACUGACGCUGAGGUACGAAAGCAUGGGGAGCAAA
rnacentral:rRNA from 1 species